GUGAGGUAACGGCUCACCAAGGCGACGACGGGUAGCCGGCCUGAGAGGGUGACCGGCCACACUGGGACUGAGACACGGCCCAGACUCCUACGGGAGGCAGCAGUGGGGAAUAUUGCACAAUGGGCGAAAGCCUGAUGCAGCGACGCCGCGUGAGGGAUGACGGCCUUCGGGUUGUAAACCUCUUUCAGCAGGGAAGAAGCGAAAGUGACGGUACCUGCAGAAGAAGCACCGGCUAACUACGUGCCAGCAGCCGCGGUAAUACGUAGGGUGCGAGCGUUAUCCGGAAUUAUUGGGCGUAAAGAGCUCGUAGGCGGUUUGUCACGUCUGUCGUGAAAGUCCGGGGCUUAACCCCGGAUCUGCGGUGGGUACGGGCAGACUAGAGUGCAGUAGGGGAGACUGGAAUUCCUGGUGUAGCGGUGGAAUGCGCAGAUAUCAGGAGGAACACCGAUGGCGAAGGCAGGUCUCUGGGCUGUAACUGACGCUGAGGAGCGAAAGCAUGGGGAGCGAACAGGAUUAGAUACCCUGGUAGUCCAUGCCGUAAACGUUGGGCACUAGGUGUGGGGACCAUUCCACGGUUUCCGCGCCGCAGCUAACGCAUUAAGUG
rnacentral:rRNA from 1 species